rnacentral:rRNA from 1 species
CGUGUAGGCGGGAUAGCAAGUCAGUCGUGAAAUACCGAGGCUCAACCUCGGGGCUGCGAUUGAAACUGUUAUUCUUGAGUAUCGGAGAGGAAAGCGGAAUUCCCAGUGUAGCGGUGAAAUGCGUAGAUAUUGGGAGGAACACCAGUGGCGAAGGCGGCUUUCUGGACGACAACUGACGCUGAGGCGCGAAAGUGUGGGGAGCAAACA